AUUGAACGCUGGCGGCAUGCCUUACACAUGCAAGUCGAACGGUAACGGGCCUUCGGGUGCCGACGAGUGGCGAACGGGUGAGUAAUGCAUCGGAACGUACCUUUCAGUGGGGGAUAACGUAGCGAAAGUUACGCUAAUACCGCAUAUUCUGUGAGCAGGAAAGCAGGGGAUCGCAAGACCUUGCGCUGAUUGAGCGGCCGAUGUCAGAUUAGCUAGUUGGUGAGGUAAAGGCUCACCAAGGCGACGAUCUGUAGCGGGUCUGAGAGGAUGAUCCGCCACACUGGAACCUGAGACACGGUCCAGACUCCUACGGGAGGCAGCAGUGGGGAAUUUUGGACAAGUGGGGGCAACCCUGAUCCAGCCAUGCCGCGUGUGUGAUGAAGGUCCUUAGGGUUGUAAAGCACUUUCGCCGUGAAGAUAAUGACGGUAACCGGAGAAGAAGCCCCGGUAACUUCGUG
rnacentral:rRNA from 1 species